CCUGGCUCAGGAUGAACGCUAGCUACAGGCUUAACACAUGCAAGUCGAGGGGCAGCAUUUUAGUUUGCUUGCAAACUAAAGAUGGCGACCGGCGCACGGGUGAGUAACACGUAUCCAACCUGCCGAUAACUCGGGGAUAGCCUUUCGAAAGAAAGAUUAAUAUCCGAUAGUAUAUUAAAACCGCAUGGUUUUACUAUUAAAGAAUUUCGGUUAUCGAUGGGGAUGCGUUCCAUUAGUUUGUUGGCGGGGUAACGGCCCACCAAGACUACGAUGGAUAGGGGUUCUGAGAGGAAGGUCCCCCACAUUGGAACUGAGACACGGUCCAAACUCCUACGGGAGGCAGCAGUGAGGAAUAUUGGUCAAUGGACGAGAGUCUGAACCAGCCAAGUAGCGUGAAGGAUGACUGCCCUAUGGGUUGUAAACUUCUUUUAUAUGGGAAUAAAGUAUUCCACGUGUGGAAUUUUGUAUGUACCAUAUGAAUAAGGAUCGGCUAACUCCGUGCCAGCAGCCGCGGUAAUACGGAGGAUCCGAGCGUUAUCCGGAUUUAUUGGGUUUAAAGGGAGCGUAGGUGGAUUGUUAAGUCAGUUGUGAAAGUUUGCGGCUCAACCGUAAAAUUGCAGUUGAAACUGGCAGUCUUGAGUACAGUAGAGGUGGGCGGAAUUCGUGGUGUAGCGGUGAAAUGCUUAGAUAUCACGAAGAACUCCGAUUGCGAAGGCAGCUCACUAGACUGCAACUGACACUGAUGCUCGAAAGUGUGGGUAUCAAACAGGAUUAGAUACCCUGGUAGUCCACACAGUAAACGAUGAAUACUCGCUGUUUGCGAUAUACAGUAAGCGGCCAAGCGAAAGCAUUAAGUAUUCCACCUGGGGAGUACGCCGGCAACGGUGAAACUCAAAGGAAUUGACGGGGGCCCGCACAAGCGGAGGAACAUGUGGUUUAAUUCGAUGAUACGCGAGGAACCUUACCCGGGCUUAAAUUGCAUUUGAAUAAUCUGGAAACAGGUUAGCCGCAAGGCAAAUGUGAAGGUGCUGCAUGGUUGUCGUCAGCUCGUGCCGUGAGGUGUCGGCUUAAGUGCCAUAACGAGCGCAACCCUUAUCUUUAGUUACUAACAGGUCAUGCUGAGGACUCUAGAGAGACUGCCGUCGUAAGAUGUGAGGAAGGUGGGGAUGACGUCAAAUCAGCACGGCCCUUACGUCCGGGGCUACACACGUGUUACAAUGGGGGGUACAGAAGGCAGCUACCUGGCGACAGGAUGCUAAUCCCAAAAACCUCUCUCAGUUCGGAUCGAAGUCUGCAACCCGACUUCGUGAAGCUGGAUUCGCUAGUAAUCGCGCAUCAGCCAUGGCGCGGUGAAUACGUUCCCGGACGUUGACACACCG
rnacentral:rRNA from 1 species